rnacentral:rRNA from 1 species
UUCCGGUUGAUCCUGCCGGACCCGACUGCUAUCAGAGUGGGACUAAGCCAUGCGAGUCGACGUAGCAAUGCGUGGCGAACGGCUCAGUAACACGUAGUCAACAUGCCCAGGGGACGUGGAUAACCUCGGGAAACUGAGAAUAAACCACGAUAGGUCACGAUUUCUGGAAUGGAUCAUGGCCUAAAUCUACAUGGCCCCUGGAUUGGACUGCGGCCGAUCAGGCUGUUGGUGAGGUAAUGGCCCACCAAACCUAUAACCGGUACGGGCUCUGAGAGGAGAAGCCCGGAGAUGGGCACUGAGACAAGGGCCCAGGCCCUAUGGGGCGCAGCAGGCGCGAAACCUCUGCAAUAGGCGAAAGCCUGACAGGGUUACUCUGAGUGAUUUCCGCUAAGGGGAUCUUUUGGCACCUCUAAAAAUGGUGCAGAAUAAGGGGUGGGCAAGUCUGGUGUCAGCCGCCGCGGUAAUACCAGCACCCCGAGUGGUCGGGACGAUUAUUGGGCCUAAAGCAUCCGUAGCCGGUUCUGCAAGUCUUCCGUUAAAUCCAGCCGCUCAACGGAUGGGCCGCGGAGGAUACUACAGGACUAGGAGGCGGGAGAGGCAAGCGGUACUCAGUGGGUAGGGGUAAAAUCCUUUGAUCCAUUGAGGACCACCGGUGGCGAAGGCGGCUUGCCAGAACGCGCUCGACGGUGAGGGAUGAAAGCUGGGGGAGCAAACCGGAUUAGAUACCCGGGUAGUCCCAG